AGGGAAUCUUCCACAAUGGACGCAAGUCUGAUGGAGCAACGCCGCGUGAGUGAAGAAGGUUUUCGGAUCGUAAAGCUCUGUUGUUGGUGAAGAAGGAUAGAGGCAGUAACUGGUCUUUAUUUGACGGUAAUCAACCAGAAAGUCACGGCUAACUACGUGCCAGCAGCCGCGGUAAUACGUAGGUGACAAGCGUUGUCCGGAUUUAUUGGGCGUAAAGCGAGCGCAGGCGGAAUGAUAAGUCUGAUGUGAAAGCCCACGGCUCAACCGUGGAACUGCAUCGGAAACUGUCAUUCUUGAGUGCAGAAGAGGAGAGUGGAACUCCAUGUGUAGCGGUGGAAUGCGUAGAUAUAUGGAAGAACACCAGUGGCGAAGGCGGCUCUCUGGUCUGCAACUGACGCUGAGGCUCGAAAGCAUGGGUAGCGAACAGGAUUAGAUACCCUGGUAGUCCAUGCCGUAAACGAUGAGCGCUAGGUGUUGGGGACUUUCCGGUCCUCAGUGCCG
rnacentral:rRNA from 1 species